rnacentral:rRNA from 1 species
GAUGAACGCUGGCGGCGUGCUUAACACAUGCAAGUCGAACGGAAAGGCCCUGCUUUUGUGGGGUGCUCGAGUGGCGAACGGGUGAGUAACACGUGAGUAACCUGUCCUUGACUUUCGGAUAACUUCAGGAAACUGGGGCUAAUACCGGAUAGGAGCUCCUGCUGCAUGGUGGGGGUUGGAAAGUUUCGGCGGUUGGGGAUGGACUCGCGGCUUAUCAGCUUGUUGGUGGGGUAGUGGCUUACCAAGGCUUUGACGGGUAGCCGGCCUGAGAGGGUGACCGGCCACAUUGGGACUGAGAUACGGACCAGAAUCCUACGGGAGGCAGCAGUGGGGAGUAUUGCACAAUGAGCGGAAGCCUGAUGCAGCAACGCCGCGUGCGGGAUGACGGCCUUCGAGUUGUAAACCGCUUUCGCCUGUGACGAAGCGUGAGUGACGGUAAUGGGUAAAGAAGCACCGGCUAACUACGUG